rnacentral:lncRNA from 1 species
AAACUGUGCUAAUGCUAAUAUCAAUAUCUAGUCAGUUAUCUUCUCCGUUGUGAGUAAUAAUUCUCCUCGCUGAAUCGGAGACCACCAUCAUCAAGUUCCUGAUCCUCUAAUACAAUACAGUAUAAACAACAAGGAUUAAAUUUCAUGCUCCCUAUACUAUAACCCACUCACCACUGUAAUCAGAAUUGGGUAAAUUUCAUAAUAAGCAAACACUAACCUGUACGAAUCAGGUACGACGAUGCCCAAGGUUUCGAACACUAUCGGGAAUCCAACGAUGGUUCCUGAAAAUCCACAACUACAGCUCCGUCGUCAUCCCAGCAGAAGACCACCGAAUCGAAUUUUCAGAUUUCGGUCUACCUCUCAUGUAACUCUCGAUUACAGAUCUGUAUCUGUAUCCCCGAUCCUCAUAUCUUCAUAUCUGUAAUCCACUUUCAUGUAAUUCUCCCGCCUCGCAAAUAUACCCCCGAUCGGGUAUUACUCGAUGCAAAGCUUCUUCAACACACCUAUUCACUGUUGUUCAUUAAUGAACUUACCCACCUCCAUAUCGUCGAUCGCGGAGGGAGAAUUACCGAGAGUCGUGCACAUCACGCACUUUUGGGAUACAGAGGCUUCUCCAACCGCUGCUUGACACGUGCUCCAGACAACCGCAGUACUCGGAGCA